ensembl:rRNA 5S_rRNA 5S ribosomal RNA
GUCUAUGGCCAUACCACCCUGAACGUGCCUGAUCUCGUCUGAUCUCAGAAGCUAAGCAGGGCUGGGCCUGGUUAGUAUUUGGAUGGGAGGAAAAGCCCACCCAGGAAAUCAAAGAGA